rnacentral:tRNA from 1 species
GUCUGGUUGGCUCAGUCAGUAGAGCAUGCAACUCUCAAUCUCAAGGUUGUGAGUUCAAGCCCCACAUUGGGCA